UGAGUGCACUGGCAGCAGGAUGUGGCAUGUUUAAACUUUUAACUUCAGCAGUCUUCGAGGGAGGAAGUUUCUAAUUAUUUUGAAAACCACCCCAUACAUCUCUUCAAGGUUGUUGCUGUACCUGCAUGACAUGACUUCGCAUGAACUUUUAGAAAUGGCAGCCGAUUGUGCUUGGUUAUCCAGAAGGGCCAAGAUUCAAGAUUCGUGUCUUUGGAGAAGUGCCAUAUUGACAAUUAAC